CCCGUGAUCCGGGUUGCGGACAGUGUCUGGUGGGUAGUUUGACUGGGGCGGUCUCCUCCUAAAGAGUAACGGAGGAGCACGAAGGUUGGCUAAUCCUGGUCGGACAUCAGGAGGUUAGUGCAAUGGCAUAAGCCAGCUUGACUGCGAGCGUGACGGCGCGAGCAGGUGCGAAAGCAGGUCAUAGUGAUCCGGUGGUUCUGAAUGGAAGGGCCAUCGCUCAACGGAUAAAAGGUACUCCGGGGAUAACAGGCUGAUACCGCCCAAGAGUUCAUAUCGACGGCGGUGUUUGGCACCUCGAUGUCGGCUCAUCACAUCCUGGGGCUGAAGUAGGUCCCAAGGGUAUGGCUGUUCGCCAUUUAAAGUGGUACGCGAGCUGGGUUUAGAACGUCGUGAGACAGUUCGGUCCCUAUCUGCCGUGGGCGCUGGAGAACUGAGGGGGGCUGCUCCUAGUACGAGAGGACCGGAGUGGACGCAUCACUGGUGUUCGGGUUGUCAUGCCAAUGGCACUGCCCGGUAGCUAAAUGCGGAAGAGAUAAGUGCUGAAAGCAUCUAAGCACGAAACUUGCCCCGAGAUGAGUUCUCCCUGAGACUUUAGGUCUCCUGAAGGAACGUUGAAGACGACGACGUUGAUAGGCCGGGUGUGUAAGCGCAGCGAUGCGUUGAGCUAACCGGUACUAAUGAACCGUGAGGCUUAACCUUACA
rnacentral:rRNA from 1 species